GUAAAUUUAUCUAAGUUCAUAUGACAGGGGGAUAACUAGUCUACACCAGAAUCCCAUUGAAAUCAACCAUGUCUAGCAUCAUAAGGUCAACUGGAAUGUGAUGCUCCCGAAUGAUCAUAAUACAUAAUCUAUACACCGGAUAUACUACUAAAGAGUAACCUAUGAGAGUAGGUACAUGCAAAGUCACUAAUAAUAGUUCCUAAGACA
rnacentral:lncRNA from 1 species